rnacentral:rRNA from 1 species
GGACCCGCAUAAGCGGUGGAGCAUGUGGUUUAAUUCGAUGCAACGCGAAAAACCUUACCUACUCUUGACAUACUUGGGAGCUCUUGUAAUGAGAGUGUGCCUUUUGGAACCAAGAUACAGGUGCUGCAUGGCUGUCGUCAGCUCGUGUCGUGAGAUGUUCCGUUAAGUCGGAUAACGAGCGCAACCCUUACCCUUAUUUGCCAGCGAUUCGGUCGGGAACUAUAAGGGGACUGCCGGUGAUAAACCGGAGGAAGGUGAGGACGACGUCAAGUCAUCAUGGCCCUUACGAGUAGGGCUACACACGUGCUACAAUGGGGAAUACAGACGGACGCUAAGCCAACUUGCGAGAGUGAG